rnacentral:rRNA from 1 species
ACCUGGGAACUGCAUUCGAAACUGGCAGGCUAGAGUCUUGUAGAGGGGGGUAGAAUUCCAGGUGUAGCGGUGAAAUGCGUAGAGAUCCGGAGGAACACCGGUGGCGAAGGCGGCUUCCUGGACCGACACUGACGCUGAGGCGCGAAAGCUAGGGGAGCAAACGGGAUUAGAUACCCCGGUAGUCCUAGCCCUAAACGAUGAGAACUGGGUGUAGGGGGUAUGAACCCCCCCUGUGCCGAAGCUAACGCAUUAAGUUCUCCGCCUGGGGAGUACGGUCGCAAGGCCGAAACUCAAAGGAAUUGACGGGGGCCCGCACAAGCGGUGGAGCAUGUGGUUCAAUUCGACGCAACGCGAAGAACCUUACCGGGGUUUGAACCGCACGGGACAGCUGUAGAGAUACAGUCUUCCUU